UUGGGUUUGAAAUUGGGUAAAGCUACUUUCGAAACGUUGCGUUUCACAUUUUCACUGAAAUUGUUCUCUCCCCCUACUCUCUCCAUCCCCUACCCUCCUCUGUGCGACUCCUAUUCCCAACCCUAACCCUAACCCUAACGCAACAGACUUGCUACGUUAUACUAGAGGAUUUUGCUCAAAGUUCGACGCCGUCCUAGUUGUAGAUAAAGAGAGUAUUUGUAAACAGAAGCUGAAUUGUUAAAGAAUGAGGAAGAGUUUUAAAAGAGAGAAAUAGAUUUGGAAGAGGGAGUUGGGAUUCCACAACAAUCAAGUGGAGCUUCGAAGGAAGAUGCAGACAUGCGGCGUUUCAUGUGUAUUGAUAUCAAAGUGAAACCCCAACUGAUUGGGAUACAUCGACCAACCAAUUGAUGACUUUGUUAUUAGGGACUUAGUGUUUGUAAUAGAGAUAAAUUAUUGAGAAAUCUAUUGCUAGUGACUUUGUUGUUGGAAGAAAUCUUCAAAUACAGUACUUUAGUGACUUUAUUUUUUUUAAAAAACUUUCAUGUUAAUUAAAUUGGAUUCAUUUCCACCAAAAUCAUGUCUAAGUAA